GCCUAUUGUACAAAGGUAUUCUUCUACAACAGGCCCGCAUAGCCCAUUGUAGAACAGGGUUUUCAUCGGGUGGCACUCAAAAAAAUUCAUUUCUCCUCCCAAACUUCGUACGCAUCAAUCAACCAAAACACCCCUCUCUCUUGAAUCCAUAUGAAACCUUAAUCCUUUCUAAGUCCAAGCACGAAUUUUUUGGGAGCUUCGUCUUUGGCGAGUUUCACCUCCAGAGGAAAAUUGCCCAGCAACAAAAGACACAGAAAAAACCCGCAGAAGAUACCAUCAUCUGUAGGCCAAUUAGGGUUUCCGUACUGGAGUCCAGUUCGUCGACGGUUCGGUCCCGACGCCCCUUUCUUCGCAUCUGGAAAUAUUGAAAGAGAACUUCUAGCCAAACAGGUUGCAUUGGAUUUAACUGAAGACAAGAAGCAACAGCUUCAAAUUGUGGAAGAUGAGGAUGGCAGAUUUUAUCCACAUCUUUUAUUGCACGGACAACAAUACAUAGAAAUUUACAAGGCACUUCCUUCUAAUGGUUGUUUAUGUUUAGCUGCUUGGAGUCUUGCCAUGAAUGCUUUGGAGGGAAAGUUUUUGCAAUCUGAGUGUGAUGGGAAAUGCCCUGGUUGUGUUGGUAUUGAAACUUGUCUAAUCCUUGCACAGAUGGUAACAAUGAAGGGAACUUUGUAAUCUUUAAUGAAUAUAAAAUAAAUUUGGAAUC